UACGUAGGGUGCGAGCGUUGUCCGGAAUUACUGGGCGUAAAGAGCUCGUAGGUGGUUUGUCGCGUUGUCCGUGAAAACUCACAGCUUAACUGUGGGCGUGCGGGCGAUACGGGCAGACUGGAGUACUGUAGGGGAGACUGGAAUUCCUGGUGUAGCGGUGAAAUGCGCAGAUAUCAGGAGGAACACCGGUGGCGAAGGCGGGUCUCUGGGCCGAAACUGACGCUGAGGAGCGAAAGCGUGGGGAGCGAACAGG
rnacentral:rRNA from 1 species